GUGCUCACUUUGGCAGCACAGAUACUAAAAUUUGAAUGAUACAGAGAAGAAUAGCAUAGCUUUGUGCAAGGGUGGCAUAUAAAUUCAUGAAGUGCUUCAUAGAUGU
rnacentral:snRNA from 1 species